rnacentral:rRNA from 1 species
AGCUACUCCGUGCCAGCAGCCGCGGUAAUACGUAGGGUGCAAGCAUUGUCCGGAUUUAUUGGGCGUAAAGAGCUCGUAGGCGGCUUAACAAGUCGGUCGUGAAAUACCGAGGCUCAACCUCGGGGAGUCGGUCGAAACUGUUAUAGCUAGAGUACGGUAGAGGAGAGUGGAAUUCCCGGUGUAGCGGUGGAAUGCGCAGAUAUCGGGAGGAACACCAGUAGCGAAGGCGGCUCUCUGGGCCGUUACUGACGCUGAGGAGCGAAAGCGUGGGGAGCAAACAGGAUUAGAUACCCUGGUAGUCCACGCUGUAAACGUUGGGAACUAGGUGUUGCGGG